GUGCCAGCCGCCGCGGUAAGACGUAGGGCGCGAGCGUUGUCCGGAUUUAUUGGGCGUAAAGAGCUCGUAGGCGGCUUGUUGCGUCAGCUGUGAAAACCCGCAGCUCAACUGUGGGCUUGCAGCUGAUACGGGCAGGCUUGAGUUCGGUAGGGGAGACUGGAAUUCCUGGUGUAGCGGUGAAAUGCGCAGAUAUCAGGAGGAACACCGGUGGCGAAGGCGGGUCUCUGGGCCGAUACUGACGCUGAGGAGCGAAAGCGUGGGGAGCGAACAGGAUUAGAUACCCUAGUAGUCC
rnacentral:rRNA from 1 species